GAAAGUGACCAAAUGAUUUAGAGCGUUAUAUCGGAUGAAUUAAGUGGAAGCAAAGUUAAACGUUAAUCCAAUAUUGGAAUGAAAAGAUGGUUAAGACCAUGAAGUAUUGAGAUUUAACACAAGAAAGAAGUUUGCCAAGGAAGAUAAGUUGGAAGGAUGAAUAUGUUAGAGGUUUAAAAUUGAAGAGAAGUCAAGUGUUGGUCUAAGACAUUG
rnacentral:lncRNA from 1 species